UGGGGAAUAUUGGACAAUGGGCGAAAGCCUGAUCCAGCCAUGCCGCGUGUGUGAAGAAGGUCUUCGGAUUGUAAAGCACUUUAAGUUGGGAGGAAGGGCAGUAAGCUAAUACCUUGCUGUUUUGACGUUACCGACAGAAUAAGCACCGGCUAACUCUGUGCCAGCAGCCGCGGUAAUACAGAGGGUGCAAGCGUUAAUCGGAAUUACUGGGCGUAAAGCGCGCGUAGGUGGUUCGUUAAGUUGGAUGUGAAAGCCCCGGGCUCAACCUGGGAACUGCAUCCAAAACUGGCGAGCUAGAGUAUGGUAGAGGGUGGUGGAAUUUCCUGUGUAGCGGUGAAAUGCGUAGAUAUAGGAAGGAACACCAGUGGCGAAGGCGACCACCUGGACUGAUACUGACACUGAGGUGCGAAAGCGUGGGGAGCAAACA
rnacentral:rRNA from 1 species